GUCUCUGUAGUGCAAUGGGAAUCGCGUUGGACUUCUAAUCCAAAAGUCGUGGGUUCCAAUCCCACCAGGGAUG
rnacentral:tRNA from 1 species